AUUGAACGCUGGCGGCAGGCCUAACACAUGCAAGUCGAGCGGUAGAGCGAAGCUUUCUUCUCUUGAGAGCGGCGGACGGGUGUGUAAUUCCUAGGAAUCUGCCUGGUAGUUGGUUAUAACGUUCGUUCACGGACGCUAAUACCGCAUACGUCCUACUGUUGAAAUCCGGUGACCUUCGUGCCUUUCGCUAUCAGAUGAUCCUAGGUCGGAUUUGCUAGUUGGUUUGGUAAUGUCUCACCAAGGCGACGAUCCGUAACUGGUCUGAGAGGAUGAUCAGUGACACGGGAAGGGAGAAACGGACAAGAGUACUACGGGAGGCAGCAGUGGGGAAUAGUGGACAAUGGGCGAAAGAAUGAUACAGAAAUGGCGCGUGUGUGAAGAAGGUAUUAGGAUUGUAAAGAACGUUAAGUUGGGAGGAAGGGAAGUAAAUUAAUACAUUGAUGUAUUGACGUUAACGAGAGAAUAAGCACCGGCUAACUCUGUG
rnacentral:rRNA from 1 species